rnacentral:rRNA from 1 species
GACAGAGGAUGCAAGCGUUAUCCGGAAUGAUUGGGCGUAAAGCGUUUGUAGGUGGCUUUUUAAGUUCGCCGUCAAAUCCCAGGGCUCAACCCUGGACAGGCGGUGGAAACUACCAAGCUGGAGUACGGUAGGGGCAGAGGGAAUUUCCGGUGGAGCGGUGAAAUGCGCAGAUAUUGGGAGGAACACCAGUAGCGAAGGCGGCUCGCUGGGCCAUUCCUGACGCUGAGACGCGAAAGCUAGGGGAGCGAACAGG